UACGUAGGGGGCAAGCGUUGUCCGGAAUUAUUGGGCGUAAAGAGCUCGUAGGCGGCUCAGUAAGUCGGGUGUGAAAACUCCAGGCUCAACCUGGAGACGCCACCUGAUACUGCUGUGGCUAGAGUCCGGUAGGGGAGCAUGGAAUUCCUGGUGUAGCGGUGAAAUGCGCAGAUAUCAGGAGGAACACCAGUGGCGAAGGCGGUGCUCUGGGCCGGAACUGACGCUGAGGAGCGAAAGCGUGGGGAGCAAACAGG
rnacentral:rRNA from 1 species